AGAGGUGUUUAUUUCAAAACAAUAACAAGAACAUUGGCUUCAGCAGGCCACGUGACCUUGAGCCACCUCUCCCCGACUGCCGGGCUGGCACAGUGAGCCCCCAGCUGCGGGAGGGAGAUGCCCUUGGAAGCCAGGCACUGCACCUGCGUGAGCUCAUCCUGCUGGGGUGAGCUGGGAGCUCCCCAACAGCCCGGCUCUACUGCUUCCUCCAGCAGAGGAGAAAGAAGAGUGGGAGGGCUAUGUGACUCGGCAUAUGGGACAGGCCCCUGGGAGAGCAGGGAGCGGAGACCACACAGCCUCCCCGCUCAGGGCUCCGCCCGCCACCGUGGGUCUCCCAUUCUAAGAGCCUGCUGCCAUGCUGUCCUUGGGGGAGCUCCAUCUUCCAGUUUCCCAGCCCUAUCACCAGGCCCAUGGCUGCUGGGAAUUCGGAAGCUUCUUCUGGGAGAAGGCUGGGGCAGGUGGUGUGGGUGGCCAGCCAGCCAGAGCUGGUCACCGUCCCCUGCUGUCCCCACUGUGCCUCUGUCCUGCGAUGCCCCAGUCCUCCCACAGGCGUGCCUGGGACACACUUGGCUUCUCCUUCCUCACUCCGGACACCGGCCUCUCCGGACCUCCUUCUCCAGGCUCCUCGCUGGGUCCUGGGCCUCCGCUCUGGCCUUCAACACCGGCCCCUGUUGCUCCAGCUGAAUCUGGUCGUCUUCUCCAUCUUGGAGGAGAUCCAGGUUCGUGCCCAGAUUGCAAGAAUUUGAGAAUUCUCACAGCUUUCUCCAGGAGGAGGUCACCGAGAGGAAGUGUCCGCCGGUUGACUCUCCAGGUGGCUGUGGGCGAUGGGAGGCUCCUGACCCCUCCUGUGCCCUUGGAAUGUACACUCUGCCCGCUGUUCCCACAGUGGGAGCUGUUCUUAAAGACACAGGCUUGAGGGGCGCCUGGGUGGCUCAGUAGGUUGAGCGUCUGCCUUCGGCUCAGGUCAUGACCUCAGGGUCCUGGGAUCGAGUCCCACAUGGGGCUCCCUCCUCAGCAGGGAGCCUGCUUCUCCCUCUCCCCCUGCUGCUCCCCCUGCUUGUGUGCACGCUCCACUCUCUCCCCUUCUCUCUCUCUGACAAAUAAAUAAAUAAAAUCUUAAAAAAAAAAAAAAAGACACAGCCUCGAGAGAGUAAGAUCCUCAGGCUCACGCCGCCUCCUUGCCACUCCACACCCUGGCCCCUCGGCUCCCUG